GACCCAGUGUGGCAUAGUGGUUUGGGUGUUGGAUUACAACUUUCGAACCCGGGGUUCAAUUCCCAGCUUGGCCA